rnacentral:rRNA from 1 species
ACGGAGGGUGCAAGCGUUAUUCGGAUUUACUGGGCGUAAAGGGCGCGUAGGCGGCUUGAUAAGUCAGUCGUGAAAGCCCGGGGCUCAACCCCGGAAGUGCGAUUGAAACUAUCAGGCUUGAGUAUGGUAGAGGGAAGUGGAAUUCCAGGUGUAGCGGUGAAAUGCGUAGAUAUCUGGAGGAACACCGGUGGCGAAGGCGACUUCCUGGACCAAUACUGACGCUGAUGCGCGAAGGUGUGGGUAGCAAACAGGAUUAGAUACCCUGGUAGUCCACACAGUAAACGGUGAUCACUAGGUGUUGCGGGUAUUGACCCCUGCAGUGCCGGAGCUAACGCAUUAAGUGAUCCGCCUGGGGAGUACGGUCGCAAGAUUA